CGCAGAAACAUGUCCCCUGACACAGGAGCGGCCCUCGCCUCCUCUUGCUCCGGUCCCACUCAGCGGGACAAAGCGAGACACUCCUGGGGCCGCCAGGGGGGCUCACGGAGAGGCCCAGAGGGCGUGAGGGGACUGGACACUGCCAGUCUGCGGUCACUCUGAGCUGGGCAGGGAGGAGCAGCGCUGGACGCUAGGAGCUGUGUCCCACAGCGACUGCAGAUUGUUCCGGCUGGCUGGGUCAGCGAACACGGAUCGAGCCUCUUGACGUCUUCUGACCUGGCUGGGUGACACCACAGGCGAGCCGUGCCCUUGACAAUUGACAAGUACUGUAUAUAGCGCCUUUCAUGCUGAAGCGUCCCACAGUGCUUUGCACAGAGGAGGGGACCCAUCUCGCCCCCCACUCAAGUGCACAGAGAUCGGGGAGGAGAGAGAAACUGCUGCUCUAGGUGAUUUUAGGGGUCAACACCCCUGUUCUUACAGUGAGCGUCCUGGGAUAGAUACUGACCAGUACAGUUGCCACCUACUGGUCUAGCAACACCACUUACACUUACUGGGCUCCUGUCCCAGGCCUGACCUGGCCUGGCACUGCCGAGUAAGUCAGGCCAACAGGUGCUGACGUUGUGUCUGGAAAAAGACAGUGUUGGACACCUGCUUCAGAAACUGUGCUGUUAAGGGUCUCGGAGUUGAACAGGGAUCUGUGUCCACAGAAACAUCAGCACACCCUGCUGAGGGCACAGCCCACAGAGGGCACUGCCCAGAGGGGUGCACUGUAUGAUCCUGAGAGGACAUGCCCAGAGGGGUGUAUUGUACAAUCCUGUCAAGGGUACAGCCCAGAGAGGUGUACUGUAUGACCCUGCUGAGGGUACUUCCCACAGAGGGUACUGCCCAGAGGGGCGUACUGCACAAUCAUGUCAAGGGUACUGCCCAGAGAGGUGUACUGUAUGACCCUGCUGAGGGUACUUCCCACAGAGGGUACUGCCCAGAGGGGCGUGCUGUACGGACUGCUCACAGAUAAAACUGCUCGUGUUGCAGUCUGCUGCGCCCAAGCUGAGAUGUUGGGGCCGCGGGGCUGGGGUUCACUGUGCUGGUGGUGCUCUUCCUGUCUGAGCACAAUCACAAGCCAGUGAGGUUUGCAGAGAGCUGGCCGCAGAGCUGUACCUGCUGGGCACAGGCUGGUCCUCGGGCAGAGCGCUGGACCUGCUGCUGAGAUGGAUGAUGGGACAGCGGUGCUCUCAGAACUGCCUCCUGGAGACGAGGACACAGGAAGUGCUCAGGCUUGGACACAGACUGGUGCCCGGCUGCAGCAGUAAAGUCGGACAGACAGGCCUCCUGCCCGCAGACCCAGCAGCUGAAAACAAAUCACGUGGACUGUGUUGUUGUGGUACCACUUUGUAUUGGAUUGUAAACAUUAAAUCAAUAAAAAAGACA